UACGUAGGGUGCGAGCGUUGUCCGGAAUUAUUGGGCGUAAAGAGCUCGUAGGCGGUUUGUCGCGUCGACUGUGAAAACCUACAGCUUAACUCUGAGCUUGCGGUCGAUACGGGCAUCACUGGAGUUCGGCAGGGGAGACUGGAAUUCCUGGUGUAGCGGUGAAAUGCGCAGAUAUCAGGAGGAACACCGGUGGCGAAGGCGGGUCUCUGGGCCGAUACUGACGCUGAGGAGCGAAAGCGUGGGGAGCGAACAGG
rnacentral:rRNA from 1 species